rnacentral:rRNA from 1 species
GACGAACGCUGGCGGCGUGCUUAACACAUGCAAGUCGAACGGAAAGGCCCUGCUUUUGUGGGGUGCUCGAGUGGCGAACGGGUGAGUAACACGUGAGUAACCUGCCCUUGACUUUGGGAUAACUUCAGGAAACUGGGGCUAAUACCGGAUAGGAGCUCCUGCUGCAUGGUGGGGGUGGGAAAGUUUCGGCGGUUGGGGAUGGACUCGCGGCUUAUCAGCUUGUUGGUGGGGUAGUGGCUUACCAAGGCUUUGACGGGUAGCCGGCCUGAGAGGGUGACCGGCCACAUUGGGACUGAGAUACGGCCCAGACUCCAACGGGAGGCAGCAGUGGGGAAUAUUGCACAAUGGGAGGAAGCCUGAUGCAGCAACGCCGCGUGCGGGAUGACGGCCUUCGGGUUGUGAACCGCUUUCGCCUGUGACGAAGCGUGAGUGACGGUAAUGGGUAAAGAAGCACCGGCUAACUACGUG